ensembl:lncRNA
AAAUGACUCUCAGGGGGUUAUCGAUGGAGGAGCUCCUUAAAAAGUUGAUGGAAGAAGGCAUUGAUGUCAGACGACGAGGCGCAAAGGUUUAGAGUUGUGUGAUGAGGUUGAUUUAAUGCAUCCCUGCCAAGACAACAUCUGUCGCCGCUUUAGCAAAAACUUCACUGCUGUUCUUCAAAUGACCAAGGAUUUGCCACUGAAGAAGGUCUACAUGGAGGCAAGAGAGAAUGCACUGGCUGAAGACAUUACAGGAAUUGACUUCAAGGGGGCACUUCUCUUGCCAUCCAUCUUCAAGGAGAAGAUAGAAGAUUUCAUCAUCCUUGGAGAGAAUACUCCCACGAGUCCAUACCCAACCAUUCGAAUGAAGGAUAAGAGUUGGACAACUGCCCUCUUAAGACAGUGUCGCCGUGUUGUGACAGUUGAAGGAGUGGAUGUUUGCUCGUGCCGCUCGCUGGAUGAGGCCUACAUCUCAGCAUUCUCCACCUUCUUCGUGUUCAACAUGACCUACCCUGCAUACUUCAAGAAAACACUUGUCUUUCUUCAGAACUGCAUUGUCAACAUAGGAGACCAGGGAGACAAACCCCUGCCAGUAAGUGUCGCCAGGGUACUUAACCAACUCUAUUAAAUACGCCCCCACCCAAGUGUCACUACCUUAUUGACUACCCAAUGCUGAUUUUGAUGUAUGGUCCUCUUCGCCCUUUGUGGUGUAUGAGAUAUGAAAGCAAGCAUCAAUAUUUCAAAAAUCUAGCGAGUAAAUGCAAAAACUUUGUAAACAUCACUGCAACUCUUAGCAAUCGUCAUCAAAUGAAACAGUGCUGGGAGUUUUCUUCAGAUAAGUUGCUUGUUGACUUUGAACAUUCACUCAGCACAAGUGUCAGUGUGCCAUUUUCAUCUCUGCCAGGUGACUUACAGAAUGCUCUGGAAAUGAACAAAAGUUUUACAGAUGUGCAUUUUCAGGAUAAAGUGCUUCAGCGUGUGUCUGCUAUAUCUGUCAGCAGUGUCAAAUAUGAACUUGAGGAUGUUUUUGUAGUUGGCCAUGUACACACUGAAGCCAUACCUAUAUUCCUUAAAAUCAAGUAUAUUUUGAAUGUUGAUACUUGUUGGGUAUUGUGUGGGAAACUGUUACUUCCUUGCACUUGUGAAUGUCAUUUCCAUGCUUACCAAGUGGCAGUUGACAAUGACUGGAUCCUGUUCAAUCCAGGAAAUGAAUUAGACUUUCAAGCUCUAGACACCUAUUAAGUUGAUGAUAGGCUGUUUGUGUCCUUGAGGUAUUCUGUGUGACGUGAUUGCAAGAACAUUUUUAUGUAUGUAUGUAUGUGUGCGUGCGUGCGUAUGUAUGUGCGUGCUUGUUGAAGUAGAGCAAAACAUUUGUGUGGACAGUUUUUUAAAUACAUGCCAUCUCUGUGAUCCGUCAAAACAUUGUGUUCAGGUGUUUAAUGUCUUUAUGUGAUUGUUUACUUUUUUUCUUCUUUUUUUUUUUUUUUUUUUUUUAAAAUGAAUGUAUUUUUCUUGACAUGUCCUAUGGCAGGGGUGUCAAACUCAAAUACACAGUGGGCCAAAAUUUAAAUCUAGAACAAGGUCGCGGGCUAACAUUAAUAUUUAUUGAAAAAUAUCUUCCUCCAGAUAUAAGAAUGAAUCUCUUCUUAUGGACUCAAACAAGUUUUGGUGAAAAACUGAAUAUGGAACAAGCAAAGCUUAAUACUAAACAAUGUAUAUAUUAGCUGUAUAAUACCAGUAGGCCAGCUCUAAUAGUAAUUUGGUAUGGCUUCGCGGGCCAAAUGUAAUUAGGCUGCGGGCCAGAGUUUGACACCUAUGUCCUAUGGCAAUAUACGAAUGUAAUCAAGGAUGUAUUCCUGUGGUUGUUUAAGUGCUUUGAUGUGAUUCUAUUAUCGAAAAUAAAUGGUUAAAUAACCAAAUAUUUUGAACUAUUGGGGGUACAUUUUUGUCUCUUUAGGUACGAAAUAGGUUGUCGCUGGGGGGGUACCCUCAUAGGUACCCUAUUGUACCCUUUUCAAGGGAACAUUUCUGUACUAUAGUUUCAAGGUACAUUUAUGUCUUAGGAAAGUACAUGAUUGUACUUCAGAUGGUACAACUUCAUAAGGUACAAAAAUGUACCAAGCCUAAAGGGUACAGAAAUGUCCUUCAAAAAGGAACACCCCCAGCGACAAGCAUUUGUACCCUUUUUGGUACACUUUGGUACCCCUAUUUCUGAGAGUGUAUGAUAAGGUCUUUAAGGUCUGUCUAUUCAGAGAAGCCUGAAUUUUUAGCGAACUAUAGGCCUAUUUCCAAGCUGC